AGAGAAUGAAGAGUAAUCCACUUGAAGUCAUGACACAGUGAAGAAGACAACAGUGGAGAAUCAUCACUGAGGGAGUAACUGCAAGCAACCUAAGCGUCCUUCAGUAGGAAAUAGAGGAACAAACUAUGCUUCCAUCUGACGAAAGACGAUGCAGUAUUUAAAGUGAUGAAGCUGAUCUACACGUGCUUACCUGGAAGAAUGUUCAGGAUUCUAUGAUUUAGUGAAAAAAGCAAUUUGCUGUACAACACCAUUUGGGUGUUUUCUCCCAGUCUCAUCUUUUCAUUCUCUUGGUAAUGUCUUUGGCAGAGCAGAAGUUUUUAAUUUUGAUGAAAUCCGGCUUAUGAAUUCUUUUUUACCACUAGCAACACCAAAUGCUGUGAGAAGGUGGAGAAAAGGAGCUGUCAUUCACUGCUGAUGAUGAUUUAAAGGCAAUCCGGUGCUCAGAGAGUGAUCCUGA